GAUGAACGCUGGCGGCGUGCCUAAUACAUGCAAGUCGAGCGAACAGACGAGGAGCUUGCUCCUCUGACGUUAGCGGCGGACGGGUGAGUAACACGUGGAUAACCUACCUAUAAGACUGGGAUAACUUCGGGAAACCGGAGCUAAUACCGGAUAAUAUAUUGAACCGCAUGGUUCAAUAGUGAAAGACGGUUUUGCUGUCACUUAUAGAUGGAUCCGCGCCGCAUUAGCUAGUUGGUAAGGUAACGGCUUACCAAGGCGACGAUGCGUAGCCGACCUGAGAGGGGGAUCGGCCACACUGGAACUGAGACACGGUCCAGACUCCUACGGGAGGCAGCAGUAGGGAAUCUUCCGCAAUGAGCGAAAGCCUGACGGAGCAACGCCGCGUGAGUGAUGAAGGUCUUCGGAUCGUAAAACUCUGUUAUUAGGGAAGAACAAAUGUGUAAGUAACGAUGCACGUCUUGACGGUACCUAAUCAGAAAGCCACGGCUAACUACGU
rnacentral:rRNA from 1 species